AAUAAAGAUUUAUUUUAAUUCCGUUCUUUUUCUUUUUUAGAGAAGUUCCAACUAAUGACAGGGUUUUCCUCUUAUAUUUGUUUGGCUUGAGUUUUAAAAAAUAUAAACAGUAUUUAAAAAGAUAACCCGUACAUAAAGAAUCUUCAUAACUUGAAACCUUGAAACUUUUUUUAAAGGAUCCCAUCCAGGAUCCCAUGUCACAUUUCAUUGUCGUGUCUCUUCUGCCUCCUCUGAUUUCCCUUUCUCCUAUGAACCAGUGAUAAUCACCUACACAUCCAUCAAGACCCAGGAAAGACAGAUGCUAAUGCCCGAGAGGAUGGUGAAAACUCUGCCAAAGGUGAAAGAGCCUAGAUCUUCAAAUGACUUGUGACCAAGGUCAUUCUUCCAGACCAGACUGCCAACCUUGGACUAUUUCUGAGCCACUUCUCUGAAUUUCACACAAUCUGCUGGAACUCAGCCAAGGAGUGGAUACUGCUCACUCUCGACCUGCCCCUCCCCAAAGCCCUGAUGGCUCGGGGAUCCAUCCCAGCCAGAGUUACCAGGUAA